UGCCAAUGCCUUGACCUUGCAAGAGAACCAGAGCCAGUGGAAGAAACACUAUAUCAGCGAGAGUGCCAGAAAAACAAAAGGAAACAAAAAACAUCAUUAAACCUGCCUUUGGAAGCAUGUGAGACUUAGAAUAAAUAACAAGAAAGAAUAUUGAAAAUUGGAUUUCCCAAAGAAUUAAGAGUUCAUUCUCCUAUCUACUGACAAUGAGCUACUUGAUGAUGGCACCGGUACCUGUUUCUUCCAAGGUGUGACUGAGCCCUGGUUCUAUCUGUUAUUGAAGGUCAGGGAGGGUUAGCUGGGGAACAGUGAAUUGGCAAUGGCCAAACUCAGCAAUGAAAGUAUUGACUCUGCAUGCAUUGCAUGGAUGAACAUUUGUCAGGAUUAUCUAGCCACUUUUGAUGAAAAAAGAAGACAAACAAAAGAAAC